CAUUAUUGAAUAAACAUGGUGGGUUGUCGCUGGCUCCUUGGAGCAUGUGCACGCUCAUCGUCUUUAUCCAUCCACCUGUGCACCUUUUGUAGUCUUGGGAAAUGAAUGCAAUGGAACCUCGAUAGGUUUUUCAGCCUUUCGGAUGUGAGGAAUGCUUUGUGAAAGCAUGGCUCUUCUCAAUAGCCUUGCAAUCGUUACUCAGACUAUGUUUUUCAUACACCAUGUAGUAUGUUUGCAGAAUGUAUCAAUGGGCCUCUGUGCCUAUAAAACUCAAUACAACUUUCAGCAACGGAUCUCUUGGCUCUCGCAUCGAUGAAGAACGCAGCGAAAUGCGAUAAGUAAUGUGAAUUGCAGAAUUCAGUGAAUCAUCGAAUCUUUGAACGCACCUUGCGCUCCUUGGUAUUCCGAGGAGCAUGCCUGUUUGAGUGUCAUUUAAUUCUCAACCACAAAGGCUUUUGCGAGCUUUUGUGGAUUGGACGUGGGGGUAACUGCAGGCCUUCCCAGGUCAGCUCCCCUAAAAUGCAUUAGCGGAACCGUUUGCGGUAACCAGUCGCCAGGUGUGAUAAUUAUCUACGCCAAUAGACAUGAACUGCUCUCUGUUGUUCUGCUUCAAAUUGUCUUGCUAGACAACUUUUGAAUGUUGACCU
rnacentral:sRNA from 1 species